rfam:Schistosoma mattheei strain Denwood, Zambia genome assembly, scaffold: SMTD_scaffold0000959
AUCUAGCUGACGAGUCCUAAAUAGGACGUAGUGUUGCACAUCCAGGAU